CCUCCCCAGCACCUCCUCUAUUUGUUUUUCUCCCUCUAGGUAGUACCGCAAUGGGGAGUUGAACUCGAGCCUCGGGUUAGAGCCUCCAUUAAAAGGACAGCAAGCCAAUGUCACAGUGUGACAAAUGGCAUGUGGAACUUAUUCCCGCUGAAGCAGUGUUCCCGGGGGAACGCUUUGAGUGUAACCCUGUUCCCAGGCCUGUGUGUGCGUUUGUUGCUGUGACAACCCCAAAUGAUGGAUUGGCAACAGGUGUGGGGGAUUUACUCAGAGUUUGCGUGAGGCCUCAUCAACAGUGGAGAGGAUAAAAAGCAAGAGAGAGAGGUGGUGUGGGUGGUUUUUCUCCCUUGUGAAAAGUCGUUUUAUUGGGUGGUAAUAGUGGCUGGAGAACGGGUGAAUGAAGUGGAAAGUGUUGCUUUGCUGAGGGAUUCGAGGACAACAGAAGGAGAGUGAAAUACCCUGUUUGCAUUGGAGAGGAGCUAAGUAACUGAGAACUGAGUCUUGUAAUUGCACACGUUUGACACUGAAUUGGAUGUGGUUUGGAGUGUUUGGAUCACGAUCAUAAAUAUCACUGAGUGGAUUGUAUUGAUUCAUUACCGAUCUCUUACCUCUCCCUCCUCUAUAAAUGGUGAUGUGAACUCUGCCUGUGACUGUGAAGAAAAACAUCUCAGAACAUCCUCCGUGGCAGUGAGGAUUGCGCCCUCCCCCUUCCCUUCGGACAGAAACCCGAAUGUGAGUGCUGGCUUUAAAUUGCACGUCGUGAAGUGAGUUUGCAGUGGCUAAAAUUGAUGUUUCCCCCCACAAUAUAUGUUUGAAGUGGAAUUGUCGUGUGUGUGUGUAAGCUACAUUCCUGUUUGCCAUGCACUCUCUAUGUGUCAUGAGGGCUGACUGUCAAUAGUAAGAGUCCUGCGACACUGAUUUGUUCCAACUGUCUGGAUGUUGAGGAUUUAUCAUCUGGGAUGUGAAUUAACCCCUCUGUUGUGCUAAUAGGAGAAGAGAUGCCCUGUUGAAAUAUUUACUAUCUGCCUCAGAAAAGCUCUGUGCAGCCUGUUGACUUCGAGUCUGCUGUAUCCCUGCCAUUCAACUAAGAAGCCCCAUUCAGCCUGUUGACUUCGAGUCUGCUGUAUCCCUGCCAUUCAACUGUAUGAAGAAGCCCAUAUUCAGCCUGUUGACUUCGAGUCUGCUGUAUCCCUGCUAUUCGCCUGUAUUGUGAGAAGUAUUCGUUCCUUCCAAUGCAUGUGAACUGUAUACUUGCCUGAAACAUCCAUUCUGUCUGUCUCAGAAGAAGCCCCAUUCAGCCUGUUGACUUCGAGUCUGCUGCAUCCCUGCCAUUCAACUGUAUGGUGAGAAGUGUUCGCUCCUUCCAAUGCAUGUGAACUGUAUACUUGCCUGAAACAUCCAUUCUGUCUGUCUCAGAAGAAGCCCCAUUCAGCCUGUUGACUUCGAGCCUGCUGUAUCCCUGCUACUCAUCUGUAUGAGGAAGCCCCAUUCAGCCUGUUGACUUCGAGUCUGCUGUAUCCCUGCUAUUCAUCCGUAUUGUGAGAAGUGUUCGUUCCUUCCAACGCAUGUGAACUGUAUACUUUGUCUGAAGCAUCCAUUCUGUCUGUUUCAGUAGAAACCCUGCACAGCCUGUUGACUUAGAGUUUGUUGCAUCCUUGUGGCCCACCUGUGCUGAGAGAGGUGACUGUCCUUUGUCACGAACGUGAGAGGGGCACGCUUUGUCUGGAAUAUCCACUCUGACGGUGUCAGGAGAAGCCACCUUACUGAAGACCGUGCACCUGCCGUAUACGUACUUGACUGAUAUCAUUCGCCUCAAAUUCCAUACCUGUGGAAGAAGGAAGGAAGGCUGGAAUUACAUACUUACCGGAGGAGACUUACCGGACCCCUCACUUGCCAAACACAUCCCCACCUCAAGGCUGUGUAUCUGCCGUGUACGGACCUGACCGAUAUCCAUCCGUCCCAAAUUCUGCAUCUGUGAAGAAGGGAAGGGAGUUUGGAAGUAUUUAAUUACCAGAGGAGACUGACCAGACUGCGGGCUUGCCGAUUGUAUUCCCACCUGUGAAAUACCUACUUGACCACCCAUCUGUCCAUCUAUUGCGGGGCCCGCACAGAGGAAGAGGGCGGGAGAGUCCCCGGUCGCUGCAUUGUUUACCUUCAAGCCCUGAGGGUAACAAAGAAGAUUUUAGUUUAGGAUUCCCAAUUUGUUUUUACUUCAAAAUAAAACUUGUUAAAUUUA